rnacentral:rRNA from 1 species
GAUGAACGCUGGCGGCGUGCCUAAUACAUGCAAGUCGAGCGAACAGACGAGGAGCUUGCUCCUCUGACGUUAGCGGCGGACGGGUGAGUAACACGUGGAUAACCUACCUAUAAGACUGGGAUAACUUCGGGAAACCGGAGCUAAUACCGGAUAAUAUAUUGAACCGCAUGGUUCAAUAGUGAAAGACGGUUUUGCUGUCACUUAUAGAUGGAUCCGCGCCGCAUUAGCUAGUUGGUAAGGUAACGGCUUACCAAGGCAACGAUGCGUAGCCGACCUGAGAGGGUGAUCGGCCACACUGGAACUGAGACACGGUCCAGACUCCUACGGGAGGCAGCAGUAGGGAAUCUUCCGCAAUGGGCGAAAGCCUGACGGAGCAACGCCGCGUGAGUGAUGAAGGUCUUCGGAUCGUAAAACUCUGUUAUUAGGGAAGAACAAAUGUGUAAGUAACUAUGCAAGUCUUGACGGUACCUAAUCAGAAAGCCACGGCUAACUACGU